AUAAGCGGAGGAAAAGAAACUAACAAGGAUUCCCCUAGUAACUGCGAGUGAAGCGGGAAAAGCUCAAAUUUAAAAUCUGGCGGUCUUUUGGCUGUCCGAGUUGUAAUCUAGAGAAGUGCUUUCCGCGUUGGACCGUGUACAAGUCUCUUGGAACAGAGCGUCAUAGAGGGUGAGAAUCCCGUCUUUGACACGGACUACCAGUGCUUUUGUGAUGCGCUCUCAAAGAGUCGAGUUGUUUGGGAAUGCAGCUCAAAAUGGGUGGUAAAUUCCAUCUAAAGCUAAAUAUUGGCGAGAGACCGAUAGCGAACAAGUACCGUGAGGGAAAGAUGAAAAGAACUUUGGAAAGAGAGUUAAACAGUACGUGAAAUUGUUGAAAGGGAAACGCUUGAAGUCAGUCGCGUUGGCCGGGAAUCAACCCUUCUUUUUUGUAGGGCGUACUUCCUGGUUUACGGGUCAGCAUCAAUUUUGAUUGUUGGACAAAAGCCAACAUUUAUGCAUCUUCGGAUGUAUAGCCUUUGGUUGCAUACAACAGUUGGGAUUGAGGAACUCAGCACGCCGCAAGGCCGGGUCACUAUGACCACGUACGUGCUUAGGAUGCUGGCAUAAUGGCUUUAAUCAGACCCGUCUUGAAACACGGACCAAGGAGUCUAACAUGCCCGCGAGUGUUUGGGUGGUAAACCCGAGCGCGUAAUGAAAGUGA
rnacentral:rRNA from 1 species